UCCAUAAGUUCUGUGACUCUAGAGAAC
rnacentral:piRNA from 1 species